rnacentral:rRNA from 1 species
UACGAAGGGGGGCUAGCGUUGUUCGGAAUUACUGGGGCGUAAAGGGCGCGUAGGCGGUGCCUCAAGUCAGGCGUGAAAAGCCCCCGGGCUCAACCUGGGAACCGCGCCUGAGACUGGAGUUACUAGAGUUCGGGAGAGGAUGGUGGAAUUCCCAGUGUAGAGGUGAAAAUGCGCAGAUAUCAGGAGGAACACCGGUGGCG